rnacentral:miRNA from 1 species
GAAGAUGGUGAAUUUCUGAUAA